rnacentral:rRNA from 1 species
AUUGAACGCUGGCGGCAGGCCUAACACAUGCAAGUCGAGCGGUAGCACAGGAGAGCUUGCUCUCUGGGUGACGAGCGGCGGACGGGUGAGUAAUGUCUGGGAAACUGCCUGAUGGAGGGGGAUAACUACUGGAAACGGUAGCUAAUACCGCAUAACGUCGCAAGACCAAAGAGGGGGACCUUCGGGCCUCUUGCCAUCAGAUGUGCCCAGAUGGGAUUAGCUAGUAGGUGGGGUAACGGCUCACCUAGGCGACGAUCCCUAGCUGGUCUGAGAGGAUGACCAGCCACACUGGAACUGAGACACGGUCCAGACUCCUACGGGAGGCAGCAGUGGGGAAUAUUGCACAAUGGGCGCAAGCCUGAUGCAGCCAUGCCGCGUGUAUGAAGAAGGCCUUCGGGUUGUAAAGUACUUUCAGCGGGGAGGAAGGUGUUGAGGUUAAUAACCUCAGCAAUUGACGUUACCCGCAGAAGAAGCACCGGCUAACUCCGUGCCAGCAGCCGCCGUAA